UGCAGCAAUGGCGGCUCCCAUGUCCUGGAGGAGGCUGGUGUACUCCGUGUACCCACCGGCCAUCGCAGGGGUUUUUACCCGAAUAUCUGACCGGAUCUUCCGCGCAAGAGACAGGAGAGGAGGGUCCUCGGUGCUGCUGCUGGCCCCCCUCCUGGCCGAAGCCGACCCGGCCCCCCGACGGGUCUCCAGGCCCGCGGGGUCCGCCGGAGCUCAGGGCACAGAGGGACUCUUCGGCCACUUCCGAUGGAUGGCAGAGCACGUACCUGCCUUUCGGGUGCCGGGAACCCACAUCCACAUCCUCACCUCGCCUGACCAGUUCUACCAGGCUAUGAAGGCGCGCAUCAAGACCGCAAAGAGGCGGGUGGUGAUGGCCUCGCUGUAUCUGGGAACGGGUCAACUGGAGCAGGAGCUGGUGGACUGCAUGGAGGACGCCCUGCAGCGCUCACAGGACAACAGCGACUCCCCCGACCUGAAGGUGUCCGUGCUGCUGGAUUACACCCGCGGCUCUAGAGGACAGAUCAACUCCAGGACCAUGCUGCUGCCGCUGCUGCAGCGCUUCACCUCUCAGAUGAGGGUCUCUCUGUACCACACCCCCGACCUGAGGGGGCUGCUGCGGCUGCUCGUCCCGCAGCGCUUCAACGAGACCAUCGGGGUCCAGCACAUCAAAGUCUACCUGUUCGACGACAGCAUCAUCAUCAGCGGGGCCAACCUGAGCGACUCGUACUUCACCAACAGACAGGACCGCUACGUGCUGCUGGAGAACUGCGGGGAGGUCGCCGACUUCUUCGCCGAUCUGGUGGAGGCCGUGGGCGACGUCUCUCUGCAGCUGCAGCCCGACGACUCGGUCACAAUGCUGGAGGGCAUGGUGCACCCGUACAAAGGCAACCGGCAAGACUUCUCGACGGCGGCGAAGAAGCGCAUCAUGGAGGUGGUGAACACUGCCCAAAUGAGGCAGCAGCUGACGAACCGGCCGGAGGACUCUGAGGACGAGGGGCUGAGCGACGGGGGGCUGAGCGACGGGGGGGAGGACACCUGGGUGUUCCCUCUGGUGCAGAUGAAACCUCUGGGGAUCCAGGUGGACGAGCAGGUCACACAGCGCCUUCUGACAGACGCCGGGCCGAACUCAACCGUGUUCCUGACGUCGGGGUACUUCAACCUGACGCGGGCGUACAUGCGUCUGGUGCUCGGGGCCGGCGCCGGGUACCGCAUCCUCACCGCCUCACCCGAGGUCAACGGCUUCUUCGGAGCCAAGGGCGUGGCCGGGGCCAUCCCAGCGGCCUACGUGCACAUCGCCAGGCAGUUCUACAACCAGGUGUGUUCUCUGGGCCAGCAGGAGAGGAUACACCUGCACGAGUACCACCGGCCAGAGUGGACCUUCCACGCCAAAGGUCUGUGGUAUUACCUCCAGGGGAAGGACCGGCCUUGCCUCACUCUAAUUGGCUCCCCUAAUUUCGGAUACCGCUCGGUUCACCGUGACCUGGAGGCCCAGAUCGCCAUAGUGACGGAGAACAAGGUGCUGCAGAGCCAGCUCCAGGAGGAGCAGGAGAGGUUGUAUCAGCGCUCCACCGAGGUGUCGAGCUCUACGUUCGAGCAGCCGGACCGUCACGUCAAGUUGUGGGUGAAAUUAGUCACUCCCCUCAUCAAGAACUUCUUCUGAGACGCCACCAGACAACAUUCAGCCCUGAGCAGACUGCACAGAAGCACACGCCCACAGUAAGACAGGCUGUGGCUUCUCUGAAAUGCCUGCAGUCAUUGUGGCGCGUCUAAAAUCUCAGGUCCCGUCCUCGCCUUCCCAGCAGCCCAGAGCACCACAGUGAGAGCGGGGGGGACAGAGAGGGGCUGAUUCACUCCUGUCAAGAAGUGAGUCAGCACCGGGGUAUGCUGAGGAUCUGACGGGUGGUCUCAGUUACCUCGAGUCUGGACCUGGAGAGAGGGAGAAAGACUGCUUUGGUUUCCUUUCGUCUUGAUGUUGAAGGUCACACCGGAGUCCGCAGAUGGGACACUCGGGUACCAUCGGCAUGCUGGGAGUUUCCAACCUCACCUUGGCUAUAACUCUCAUCAGUGUGUCCCAGGAAGUGACUGACACAUACAGGAGAUGUAUGUGGUGAAUUCAGCGGGUACACUUUUUUUUUUUAUCAAACUCCAGAUCCUGGUUUACCUGCACAGCUGUUAAUGUUUCAUCACAUUAUAGUUUAACUGUUUUUCUACUACAACAUUUAAAAAAAAACUACUUCCUACCACUGCAAUGCAUUUCUUCAAGCUGCGAUAUAAAACGGACGGGUGUGGUGCAGAAAAACAAUCCCUGGAGGAGCCUAAUAACCGUUUUUAAGAGAGUUUACAGCAGUAAUCAAAGCUAAAUGUACAGUGAUUAUCUUUGUAAAUUAAAGGACGAUGUGGACGAGUUUUUAAAAUGA